rnacentral:rRNA from 1 species
UACGUAGGUGGCAAGCGUUGUCCGGAAUUAUUGGGCGUAAAGCGCGCGCAGGCGGUCCUUUAAGUCUGAUGUGAAAGCCCACGGCUCAACCGUGGAGGGUCAUUGGAAACUGGGGGACUUGAGUACAGAAGAGAAGAGUGGAAUUCCACGUGUAGCGGUGAAAUGCGUAGAGAUGUGGAGGAACACCAGUGGCGAAGCGACUCUUUGGUCUGUAACUGACGCUGAGGCGCGAAAGCGUGGGGAGCGAACAGG